GGAGGAAAGUAGGGGAUCGCAAGACCUCACGUUAUAGGAGCGGCCGAUGUCCGAUUAGCUAGUUGGUGGGGUAAAGGCCUACCAAGGCGACGAUCGGUAGCUGGUCCGAGAGGACGAUCAGCCACACUGGGACUGAGACACGGCCCAGACUCCUACGGGAGGCAGCAGUGGGGAAUUUUGGACAAUGGGCGAAAGCCUGAUCCAGCCAUGCCGCGUGCGGGAAGAAGGCCUUCGGGUUGUAAACCGCUUUAGUCCGGGAAAAAGGGGUGCGAGGAUAAUACCCUUGUGCUUUGAUGGUACUGGAAGAAUAAGCACCGGCUAACUACGUGCCAGCAGCCGCGGUAAUACGUAGGGUGCGAGCGUUAAUCGGAAUUACUGGGCGUAAAGCGUGCGCAGGCGGUCUUGUAAGACAGUCGUGAAAGCCCCGGGCUUAACCUGGGAACUGCGUUUGAAACUACAAAGCUAG
rnacentral:rRNA from 1 species